AACGAACGCUGGCGGCAGGCUUAACACAUGCAAGUCGAACGCAUCGCAAGAUGAGUGGCAGACGGGUGAGUAACGCGUGGGAACAUACCCUUUUCUACGGAAUAGCUCUGGGAAACUGGAAUUAAUACCGCAUACGCCCUACGGGGGAAAGAUUUAUCGGGGAUGGAUGAGCCCGCGUUGGAUUAGCUAGUUGGUGGGGUAAAGGCCUACCAAGGCGACGAUCCAUAGCUGGUCUGAGAGGAUGAUCAGCCACAUUGGGACUGAGACACGGCCCAAACUCCUACGGGAGGCAGCAGUGGGGAAUAUUGGACAAUGGGCGCAAGCCUGAUCCAGCCAUGCCGCGUGAGUGAUGAAGGCCUUAGGGUUGUAAAGCUCUUUCACCGAUGAAGAUAAUGACGGUAGUCGGAGAAGAAGCCCCGGCUAACUUCGUGCCAGCCGCCGCCGUAAAAC
rnacentral:rRNA from 1 species